rnacentral:tRNA from 1 species
AGUAGAUUGGUGUUAUGAGCACGGGAAAUUUUGGUUUUCUUGGACGUCGGUCGAAUGGCGAUUUACUG